rnacentral:rRNA from 1 species
GAGUUUGAUCCUGGCUCAGAUUGAACGCUGGCGGCAUGCCUUACACAUGCAAGUCGAACGGCAGCACGGGAGCUUGCUCCUGGUGGCGAGUGGCGAACGGGUGAGUAAUGCAUCGGAACGUAUCCUGGAGUGGGGGAUAACGUAGCGAAAGUUACGCUAAUACCGCAUAUUCUGUGAGCGGGAAAGCGGGGGACCUUCGGGCCUCGCGCUCUUGGAGCGGCCGAUGUCGGAUUAGCUAGUUGGUGAGGUAAAGGCUCACCAAGGCGACGAUCCGUAGCAGGUCUGAGAGGAUGAUCUGCCACACUGGAACUGAGACACGGUCCAGACUCCUACGGGAGGCAGCAGUGGGGAAUUUUGGACAAUGGGGGCAACCCUGAUCCAGCCAUGCCGCGUGAGUGAAGAAGGCC